CAGCUAAAGUCUCGCCCUUUGUCUUUGUGACAAACAGUUAAAUGAACCUGAUAGACAGAGGAACUGCUCCGUCAGCAAGCCCAGCCCACUCUGUGCCCGUGAUAUGCUGUACCAAGGACUAGGACCAUCUCAGUGGCCUCGUGGAAGCCUCUCGAUCUCCAGGUGUUGGGGGUUAAACAAUGCCGCCUUCUGCCUUCGUUAUGAGGCCUGAUUCCCCGCAGGCCGAAGCAGAUGGGACAUGAGUGCACGGAUGUUAACACUGUAGGAUUUUCCUCUGCAAGGAGAAGCCUCUGCAUUUGAGAGAUUUAAGAAUGGAAGAACAGAGAAGGGAAUUUAACACGGAGCAAUAUAGGCUCAAUUCUACUGAAGACAGAAGUGGUAGCCAUAUCUGCAACCCAAACCACUGUUAUAUGGAGGGCCUCCUCCGGAUACCGUCAGCUAAACAAUGUCGGCUGGCGACCUCCAGGGGGAGGGCCUUCUCUGUGGGGGGCCCCUACCCUCUGGAAUGAGCUCCCUCUGGGGCUUCGUCAACUCCCCGAUCUCAGGUCCUUCCGCCGCAAGCUGAAGACGUUGCUGUUUCGAAGAGCAGGACUAGCUUGAACGUAGUUUUAAAUUGGGGUUUUUAAAUCAGGGGUUUAAAUGGGUUUUAAAUUUGUAUUUAAAAGUUUUAAGGCAUCAACUGAAUUUAAUUGUCUAUUCUUUUUGCUGUUUUAUAUGUAUUAUAUGUUUUCUGUUGUUUUAUUGGCUGUGAACCGCCCUGAGUCCUUCGGGAGAUGGGCGGUAUACAAAUAUAAUAAAUAAUAAUAAUAAUAAUAAUAUCUGGCAACUUAGAUGACUUUCAGCAAACGAACAUCCAUUCCAUGUUGGUAGACUGGGGUACAUCGGUGAGUGAAGGAGUAGCAGGUUAAGAAUCAAAGAACCGUAACAGCAACUGCCAGUGAUUUCAACUUUAGAAAGUAGGAAAACCAC